rnacentral:rRNA from 1 species
UACAGAGGCCUCGAGCGUUAGGCGGAAUCACUGGGCUUAAAGCGUGUGUAGGCGGACUUCUAAGUACCUUGUGAAAUCCCACAGCUUAACUGGGGAACUGCGUCUGAUACUGGCGGGCUUGAGGACAGGAGAGGAACGCGGAAUUCCAGGUGUAGCGGUGAAAUGCGUAGAUAUCUGGAGGAACACCGGUGGCGAAGGCGGCGUUCUGGACUGUUUCUGACACUGAAAAACGAAAGCCAGGGGAGCAAACGGG